UGGGGAAUUUUGGACAAUUGGGCGAAGCCUGAUCCAGCAAUGCCGCGUGUGUGAAGAAGGCCUUCGGGUUGUAAAGCACUUUUGUCCGGAAAGAAAUCCUUGGCUCUAAUACAGUCGGGGGAUGACGGUACCGGAAGAAUAAGCACCGGCUAACUACGUGCCAGCAGCCGCGGUAAUACGUAGGGUGCAAGCGUUAAUCGGAAUUACUGGGCGUAAAGCGUGCGCAGGCGGUUUGCUAAGACCGAUGUGAAAUCCCCGGGCUCAACCUGGGAACUGCAUUGGUGACUGGCAGGCUAGAGUAUGGCAGAGGGGGGUUAGAAUUCCACGUGUAGCAGUGAAAUGCGUAGAGAUGUGGAGGAAUACCGAUGGCGAAGGCAGCCCCCUGGGCAAGUACUGACGCUCAUGCACGAAAGCGUGGGGAGCAAACNGGAUUAGAUACCCCUGGUAGUCCACGCCCCUAAANGAUGUCAACUAGUUGUUGGGGAUUCAUUUCCUAGUAACGUAGCUAACGCGUG
rnacentral:rRNA from 1 species